UAUGCAUGUCUGGUAAGCUCAGAGGCAGCAUUUAGUCCUCGGGGAUGUUUGUCACAUUGAAGUACUCUUUCAUUUAGGUGCAAAUCAAGGUCCAAAGCCUUGCGUGUUAUAUAUCAGCUGCACUUGUCUCUUGCUUGUACCACCGGAGAAUCUAAACUGGCAGAGGUCAACGAAGAGCACGACACGCGGUGCAGCCUCGUCACAGGGACAGCUGCUACUUUUCUCCCCACGUGUGGCAAACCCUGAGCUCCAUCCUCCAUUCCUCUCCCCGGGCUGAGGUGGGAAAAACGUGCAGAAAUUAAACAUCAGUGCAUGCCCCCAACCAGCAAGGCAGUGUGCUGUGAGUGGGGGAGGAUCCGGAGGAAUUGCCCAUCUAUCCAGGUGCUAUUUUGUGAAGAAUGCUUUGCUUUUCUCUGCAUCCCCUCUGUGCAGCAAGGUGAGACCACUACAGUGAAUCUAUCUAUUUAUUUACUAUCUAUUUAUUUAUUUAAGAGAACCUCUUUGAAAACCCAUCUGCACACCCAGAACCAACUCCCCCUCCCCCCCCACCCAGCCACGACAGCAGGGGAGGAUCAAAAUAACAAGCUCAGGGCCGGGAGCUGAGUUCCUGGGGGAGCUGCUAUCACCGAGCACUGCCAGGCACAGAACUCCCACUAAUUAGAUGGAACAGUUAUGUGACAAAACCCACGCGGGGGCUGCUGAGGGGGCUGCUGGUGGGAUUUGUGGCAGAGCGGAUUUUCAGGCAGCUGAAGGAAUGCGUCCCACGUGCACUGUGUGAAUCUCCAUCCUUUGCUGGGGCUGAGGGCUCAAUUUGGGGGGCGUGGAGGCACGUGGGGCUGAUCCAGGGGAGCCAUCCUUGAGCACGGGCUCGAUCCUGAGGGCUCGGGAUGUGGAUUCCUUACAGACCCCUUGCCAUGAGAGUGAGAAAUGAAUGGGAAGAGGCAAAUGCUUCAGCAGGGUGAUGCCAGGAGGCCGUGGCAUCAGACCCAACGGAACGGGGUUCUGGCGCUACAAACCCUGCAGUAUCUAUCCAGCAAACGCCCCAACAUCCUCCAGGUUAUUUUCAUUCUCUUUUCCUUUGGAAAAUGGAAAAAUAAAGCCCUCCCACACGCGGGAAACCAAGGCCAUCAAUGAGAGCCCGCCACUCAUCACAAGAGCUGCUUAGAGAGCAGCGAGCCGUGUUUACCAGCACUCUGGAAACGAGCGUGAGAGCGCACGUUAAAAUCCUAAUUAAAGGCGCAGCCUUUCUCCUCCUGCGAGCGCUGCCCGGCGUGGCGGCUCCAGCUGUGCCAGAUGUGCCCGCAGGUCUCCCACACGGAGACGCGUCCCGCCCGCGCA
ensembl:lncRNA